CUUUUGUUGAGCUUGCAUGGAGCUCCAGCAGCAGGGACACACUCAGUUUGAGCAGUUUUGUGUGAAGUUCUUUGUGUCCCUUAACAAAACGUUUUGGGCUCGUGCCAGCUGGGUCUACUCCUCUGGCGCGACACAAGACAGGAAGCUGACAUAAAAGAAUGGGACUGUCUGUGAGGGACACAGGAGCCAAGACAAGAGUCACGACGGUAGACACCGACGAGGUCGGAAGUUAUUGUUUCAGCUUUCAGGCUUCCAUGGUGACAAGAAUCUUAUCCCUCAAUCGAACACAUUGUGAUUCCAUGGUGACGGCAACAAGUGUGGAGAACAAUCCCGAACAGGAACCUCAUCACUGGAGUUUCUCCCCAAUCAAACGCUGUCAUUUGGCCGAUGAGUAAAGCAUUUAACCCCUGUUAUACUCCAUUGGGGCUACUAAGUGGCCAACAACUUAACACUGUAACAACUUUCUUUAAAACUACUCAUUGUACGUUGAAUAUUAAUCUUUAACUUUAAUUUGUAUUCAGUACCAUGUGGUUAUACAUAUUUACAAUGAAGAUAAUACCCUCAGAUAUUCAUUCAUUUGAACUUUCUCUUACUUUUUCUGGUUAGGUUAUUUACACAUAAUUUGAGAUAAGCUGUUUCAACGUUAAGAGGUCAUCUUAAUCUGGUUUAUGUGUAUGUACUCCUUUUUAAUUCAACCCACCUUGUUGUUUGUCCCUACAGAAUCAGCUCCAACUCCCUGCUGCACUGAACAAAGCAUAUAUCUCAUUAGUCUGUCCCCUUCUC